GGUCUCGCUUUGUAGUUUAGGCUGGCAAUGAACUCACUAUGUAGCCCAGGCUGGCCUUGAACUUGCAGCGAUCCUCCUGCCUCUGCCUCCCAAGUGCUGGGAUUAUAGGCAUGCGCCACCAUGCCUG
rnacentral:miRNA from 1 species